CCUACGGGAGGCAGCAGUGGGGAAUAUUGCACAAUGGGCGCAAGCCUGAUCCAGCGACGCCGCGUGAGUGAAGAAGUCUUUAGGUGUGUAAAGCUCUGUUUGCAGGGAAGAAAAUGGCGGUACCUGAGCAAGAAGCACCGGCUAACUACGUGCCAGCAGCAGCGGUAAUACGUCGGGGGCCAGCGUUAUCCGGAUUUACUGGGUGUAAAGGGGGCGUAGACGGCAGGGCAAGUCUGGAGUGAAAGGCGGGGGCGCAACCCCCGGACUGCUCUUGAAACUGGCAGUCUGGAGUGCAGGAGAGGUAAGUGGAAUUCCUAGUGUAGCGGUGAAAUGCGUAGAUAUUAGGAGGAACACCAGUGGCGAAGGCGGCUUACUGGACUGUAACUGACGUUGAGGCUCGAAAGCGUGGGGAGCAAACAGGAUUAGAUACCCCAGUAGUC
rnacentral:rRNA from 1 species